rnacentral:rRNA from 1 species
AGAGCGGCGCACGGGUGAGUAACGCGUGGAUGAUCUGCCCCCAAGACUGGGAUAACAGUUGGAAACGACUGCUAAUACCAGAUGUUCUUCAUUUUUCACCUUUUGAGGUAAAGGUGGCCUCUGCUUGCAUGCUACCGCUUGGGGAUGAGUCCGCGUCUCAUUAGUUUGUUGGUGGGGUAAUGGCCUACCAAGACUACGAUGAGUAGCUGGUCUGAGAGGAUGAUCAGCCACACUGGGACUGGAACACGGCCCAGACUCCUACGGGAGGCAGCAGUGGGGAAUAUUGCGCAAUGGGCGAAAGCCUGACGCAGCGACGUCGCGUGAGGGAAGAAGGCUCUCGGGUCGUAAACCUCUGUCAGGGGGGAAGAAACCCUUGGACUCGAAUAGGGUCCUUGGCUGACGGUACCCCCAGAGGAAGCACCGGCUAAUUCAGUGCCAGCAGCCGCGGUAAUACUGAAGGUGCGAGCGUUAAUCGGAAUCACUGGGCGUAAAGCGUGCGUAGGCGGCGCGGUCAGUCAGAUGUGAAAGCCCUCGGCUCAACCGAGGAAUUGCAUUUGAUACUGCCGUGCUAGAGUCUCGGAGAGGUUGGCGGAAUUCCAGGUGUAGGAGUGAAAUCCGUAGAUAUCUGGAGGAACAUCAGUGGCGAAGGCGGCCAACUGGACGAGUACUGACGCUGAGGUACGAAAGCGUGGGGAGCAAACAGGAUUAGAUACCCUGGUAG